CUGGCAGUUCCAAGCUCUGAGAACUGGUUUUCAUGGACUGGUUCCAGUUCAGUAUGUUCAGUCCAUAAUGCUCAGUUCUCUAGCUCGGCUGCAUCUG